rnacentral:rRNA from 1 species
CAGUAGCCGCGGGAAUACGGAGGGCGCGAGCGUUACCCGGAUUUACUGGGCGUAAAGGGCGUGUAGGCGGCCUGGGGCGUCCCAUGUGAAAGGCCACGGCUCAACCGUGGAGGAGCGUGGGAUACGCUCAGGCUAGAGGGUGGGAGAGGGUGGUGGAAUUCCCGGAGUAGCGGUGAAAUGCGCAGAUACCGGGAGGAACGCCGAUGGCGAAGGCAGCCACCUGGUCCACUUCUGACGCUGAGGCGCGAAAGCGUGGGGAGCAAACCGGAUUAGAGACCCCAGUAGUCCCUGUCUCUUAUAC